UGAGCAAUCUGCCCUUCUCAUCGGAAUAAGCGUUGGAAACGACGUCUAAUGCCGAAUACGACCUCCUUUCGCAUGAUCGGAGGUGGAAAGCUCCGGCGGAGAAGGAUGAGCUCGCGGCCUAUCAGCUAGUUGGUGAGGUAAUAGCUCACCAAGGCGACGACGGGUAGCCGGCCUGAGAGGGUGACCGGCCACACUGGGACUGAGACACGGCCCAGACUCCGUAGGAGG
rnacentral:rRNA from 1 species